rnacentral:lncRNA from 1 species
UAAGCAGCAAGUAAUUGAAGUUAGUAUGAUCAAAUUGCAGUUUCUUGGGAUUUUGGUGUUCUUGAGCUGAAAUUAAGAUUUUCUUGGUGUUUUUGGAUUCGAAUGUCUUGGGAGCUGGAUUUUUGAUGUGGAAAUUGGCUUUCCAUCAUCCUUUACAGGUUUUGAAGCUUUUCCCACAUGAGUUUGAGAUUUGAAAGGUGAGUUUUAACUCAGUUUUGGAUAUUUGAGUUUAUAUGCUGUUUUUAAGGUUUUGAUGGAAAAUCUUGAAUUUUUUUUUUUUAGUCCAGAUUUUUAUGGAAAGCUUAAGGUUGGAUUUGGAUUGAUU